GUGAGGAAUAUUGCGCAAUGGAGGCAACUCUGACGCAGCCAUGCCGCGUGCAGGAAGAAGGCGCUACGCGUUGUAAACUGCUUUUAACCGGGAAGAAACCCCAGGACGUGUCCUGGGUUGACGGUACCGGAGGAAUAAGCACCGGCUAACUUCGUGCCAGCAGCCGCGGUAAUACGAAGGGUGCAAGCGUUAUCCGGAUUCAUUGGGUUUAAAGGGUGCGUAGGCGGAGCGUUACGGCAGUGGUGAAAUCCUGCAGCUUAACUGUAGACUUGCCAUUGAUACUGGCGCUCUUGAGUGCGCUUGAAGUGGGCGGAAUGUGCCGUGUAGCGGUGAAAUGCUUAGAUAUGGCACAGAACACCAAUUGCGAAGGCAGCUCACUAAGGCGAUACUGACGCUGAGGCACGAAAGCGUGGGGAUCGAACAGGAUUAGAAACCCCAGUAGUCC
rnacentral:rRNA from 1 species